GACGAACGCUGGCGGCGUGCUUAACACAUGCAAGUCGAACGGAAAGGCCCUGCUUUUGUGGGGUGCUCGAGUGGCGAACGGGUGAGUAACACGUGAGUAACCUGCCCUUGACUUUGGGAUAACUUCAGGAAACUGGGGCUAAUACCGGAUAGGAGCUCCUGCUGCAUGGUGGGGGUUGGACAGUUUCGGCGGUUGGGGAUGGACUCCCGGCUUACCAGCUUGUUGGUGGGGUAGUGGCUUACCAAGGCUUUGACGGGUAGCCGGCCUGAGAGGGUGACCGGCCACAUUGGGACUGAGAUACGGCCCAGACUCCUACGGGAGGCAGCAGUGGGGAAUAUUGCACAAUGGGCGGAAGCCUGAUGCAGCAACGCCGCGUGCGGGAUGACGGCCUUCGGGUUGUAAACCGCUUUCGCCUGUGACGAAGCGUGAGUGACGGUAAUGGGUAAAGAAGCACCGGCUAACUACGUG
rnacentral:rRNA from 1 species